rnacentral:lncRNA from 1 species
GAAUUGUGGGGCAAGCUUGGCCACUGAUGCAGAUUCUGCAGCUUGCUACACAGAAAGCCAGAGACCGAGAGCCAAUGACUGAGACUAUGAGUAUUGCCAAGGAAGAAGGCUUUAAUCGGGUGCUGCAGCUGAAAAGAUGAGAGCUCAGCCUCAAAUCCAUCUCCCUGACCAACUAAAGCUAAGGAUUUAUAUAGCAGGGAAGAAGACAGGAACUAGGAAGGGGCAAGGAAGCGAUCCUGAUGAAUGAAGGGUCAGGCAUUUCAUUGUCUGGAUGUGGCGAUCUGCUCACACUGGUCACACCUGGGACUUCCAACAUGAAUGCUUUUGUCACGGAUGCUGCGCUGCUGCUGUUUCUGGUUCUUACUCUGCUUACACCAAGGAGACUGAUGUCCCUGCUAUAACCCCACUUCCGAUGCAGACAGCAAUUCCAAUGCAUUGCAGCUUUCAGGAUUUU